rnacentral:lncRNA from 1 species
UUUCUUUUUCUCUUUUUUAAAAUUCUGUAAUUUAAUUUUCAAUUUAUUUUUUUCUUUGUAAUUUUUGUUUAUUUUAUUAAUUUAAUUUUUAGUUAAUUUAUUUCACGUAUUUAUUUUUGUGUAUUUUUAUAGAAAGGUUGUAAUAGCGCAAUAAGGUUAGUAUCGUAAUUUCUCCCUCUUCUUUAUUUUUAUUUGUUUUGUUCCCAUCUUUAUUUUUAUUUUAUUUGUUUUGCAUGCAUGGUCGUAGGUCAUUAUUACCUAAUCUUGAACGUAUAGACCUUGAAUUAGAAAAAA